AGGAUGAACGCUGGCGGCGUGCCUAACACAUGCAAGUCGAACGAAGUAGCAAUACUUAGUGGCAGACGGGUGAGUAACACGUAGUCAACCUGCCCUUCAAUGGGGGAUAACUAGCCGAAAGGUUAGCUAAUACCGCAUACGAUCUCUGAGUGGCAUCACUCGGCGAUGAAAGGAGUAAUCCGUUGAAGGAGGGGACUGCGUCCCAUUAGUUAGUUGGUGGGGUAAUGGCCUACCAAGACUCCGAUGGGUAGCUGGCUUGAGAGAGCGACCAGCCACACUGGAACUGAGACACGGUCCAGACUCCUACGGGAGGCAGCAGUGAGGAAUUUUUCCGCAAUGGGGGAAACCCUGACGGAGCGACGCCGCGUGUGGGAAGAAGGCCUUCGGGUCGUAAACCACUGUCGAGGGGGACGAUAUUGACGGUACCCCUGGAGGAAGCCCCGGCUAACUACGCGCCAGCAGCCGC
rnacentral:rRNA from 1 species